GUUAAUAAAAAUGUAUUUCAUUGGUCAAACAAGGCUUCAGUGUUAAACAUUGCAGCACUACAGUGGAAUGCACAUGUUGUGACCUAGUCUCACCUUAACUUAAAAUUGCUGGAGGCUGUGUUAGGAUAGACUGGUUGCUGCAAGACAAUGUUUUCAUUCAUAUCAUUGCAUAUUUUACACACAAGAGGGCGCCAUACAAAUGACUAAUUUACAUUUUACGUGCAUGCAGUGGAUGUAGACCAUGGCCAUUUACUUUUGUCACUUUUUUUACACUCUUUUUGUUUUCCAGACUGUAUUUUCACUUUGACGCACACAAAAACAACACAAUACCCAUGUGACAAUAAUCAGCACGAUACUGUGGAGAAGCAAAUGGAACAGACGAGUAAACACUAAACAACAGGAUAAGCACAAUAGUCAGGACAUAGAACACUUGUGUAGAUUAGUACAAAUAGCAUAAAGGGUGCUUGCAGUCGCUGGUAACUAUCAACAGCAUCACUGAUUUAAUUUAAAGAAGGGUUUAGCGCUGCACAGCGCAAAUCCAGUUCUAUUGUUUCAGUGGUUUAGCCAGAGGAUUACUUGUAAACAGGUGAUGAUGUGACAGUGAGAUGACCAGGCAACAGAGUUUAACUGAGGUGGCUCUAAUCUAAAUCUCCCAAGGUUAUACUGAAUCUGGCUUUCCACAUGAACUUUUCAUGACAGAUGGCUGGAGGCUGCAUCAGGAAAACAUGAAUAAUCAUGAGGCAUUCAAGAUCGGGUUUGCAGAUUCUUGUUUGAUGGAACUGAUAAAAUCCUCCAUCCAGAUCCUAAAGAAGGUAACUGCUCCAUUAUACCUGUUAAACCUGGGAAAUGAUUUUGAAUCUCAAUAUGGAAAACAAAAGGAUUGCAAUCCUCAUGAACAGGAGAACUCAAGGACAAACACACAGUAGUGGAGGAAACCACAAUUAAUAUGCAACAAUCAGCAAGCAAGAAACACGUUCAGCACUGGAAUGACUGCUGCUAAUAUUCUGCUUAUAAUAGGUGACUCCUUAUGAGCUUUAUAGUGCCGUGUCUACACUUUUAUAUUUAAUUUCUUACCUGUUUAUGAUGUGUGUUCACUGUCAUUCUAUAUGUUUUUUUUUCUGCUCAGAUAAUUAUUUACCUUGCAAAAAUGUUGAAAAUGUCCUUUUUUCAACCACUGGGUUUGUUACUGAAAAGAAGUGAGGUGGUUUGAAAAAUGACCGUUGCCAUACUUGCAAACAAACUGUAUACUGUACAAGAUGAGCAAAAUCAAUAUUAAAAAAAAACAC